rfam:Streptococcus infantis SK970 ctg1129914002307, whole genome shotgun sequence.
AAGGGUCUUCAGGGCUGGGUGUAAUUCCCGACCGGCGGUGACUUUUACUUGGAAAUGUUCUUUUCCUCUUAUACUUUGUUGCCAAGCUUUGCCUAACCAAAAGUUAUGCCUACAGCUUGUCGCCUAGUCUAAAAGAAAAAUCUCCAUUUCUUUACUCUAAAAGAAGUCCGCGAGCGCAAGCUGAUGUGGUGUGAUUCCACAACCGACAGUAUAGUCUGGAUGGGAGAAGACGAAA